UGACUUUGGAUUUCCGGCUCCUGCGGCCGCGGGAAGCUUCCGCUCGCUCCGGGAUGAAGCUCCGCUAAUCCUACAUCCCCCUCCCGGACAGCAUCCCUUUCCUAGUGCUGGUCUCACUCUCUCAGGCUGCGGGGGCGGCGGCGGAGGCCGCCCCAGACUCUCCCCUCCGGCUCCUUUCUGGCCUUGGGGAGCAGCGGAGAGGCGCCGGGCUUUGGAGGAAAGAACCGUUGUUGAGUUAGACCUGGCUGCCUAAUCACGCCUUUUCUGCUUCUUUGUGCCUCCGUUUCCUCCUCUGUGAAAAUUGGCUAUUACCUGUGAGUCCCUUCUAACUGAGCCUCGAAGAGUGAAUGCUCACUAAAUUUAGCUUUGUUGUUGUCCCUUCAUUGGGCACGUUCGUUUCUUGAUUUAUUCAUUAAACAGGCGCUGUUUUAGAUCCUGGCGAUUCAGCAGUGAGCAAAACAAACACAAGUUUUUGCUUUCAUGGAGAUUAUAUUUUGGUGGAGAGAGAUUUUAAAAAUAAGUAAAAUGUGUGAAAUGUUAAAGGGGCGUGAGUGCCAAGGAGAAGAAUAAAGCACGAAAGGAGAAUGAAAGCUAUAAGGUGGUUUCAGUUUUAAAUGGCGUGGUCAAAAUGGUCUCACUGAGGUGAGCUUCGAAGCAAGGGAGCAAGAGCCGUGUUGGGAACAUCAUUCCAGGCAGAGGGAACAGUAAGUACCAAGGCCCUCGUCCUGAGCCUCAUGCCUUAUCAUAUCUCAGAAAGAGAAAAAUGCAGAUGCAGAAAAGAGAGGGACCAUUUCAGGGGGCUCUCCCUGAGCAGGGGAGAGGGGACGGGACCUGCAGCCCAAGCCGAGGGGUUGGCCUCGCGUAGACCACACAUCUGUGACUUGAGAACGUGUGAGCAGACUCAGGCACUGGUGGGAAUGCGGUGGAAAGGCUUUUCAGGUUGUUCUGGUGAGAUGGGAAGAAGUCAUCAGCGGAACGUGGGAGUUGGGAGGGUUGGGCGGGGUCUGAGGAGGGAUCAGAGGUGUAAUAUCUCUUGGAAACGGGGGAAUUAAACCAGAAAUGUAAUAAAUUGCCAGGCAUCAUCUGGGGCCCCCUGGACAUCUGUGACCAUAAAUAUAAAGAUAAGGCCACUCAACCCACUGACUCAUACAACCACUGACUUGGUUAAAACAUCCCGUUUACCCCGAAGGAACAAAUUAAGUGCAUUCACAAUUUCAAAAAUAUUUGCCAGGCAAUAUACUACCGACAGCCACUGGUCAUCACGUGUCCAAAUCUGGUAUUUGCCUUUUUGUGUAAAAAGAGAAAAAGAUAACUCAUCUGUACCUCUGACAGUCCUUCUGAGCAUUUUGCCGUGAGACAUGCAACAAACUUCAACGUAGAACAAAGGACUUUGAUGAAUAUUCAGCCCGUUACAGGUUAUGGCAACAUUCCUGGGACAUCUGAAAGGUCUUGUGUUUAUAGAAGUAACUACACCUGUGGCAUCCUGAGCAUGUGCUCGCUUCCGCCUUCUACCUUUGCAGCCACUUGCUGCUGGUGAAUGAGGCCUUGGAUGGAUUCUACCCAUGCCACUGGAGGCAACCUUAUUUCCGAGUUCUUUUGUUUUUCUAGUCAAAGCAGCCACUCCUUCAACGAUUAUGUGGAUACAAUUUUACCAAAACUAUUGCUUUUAUAAAAGAAAUUAUUUGCUGUUGAGAAUAUAUGUUCCCCUGUAUAUAUGCAUCUUCCUACCAGCAACUCCUCAAAAGUAAUUCUUUCCUCAUUUCAUUUCUGAAACAACCUACUGACUACCAUGAACAGGGACUCAUUAGAAGCAUCUGUAUUUUAUCCAGCUGUAUAGCAAACCUUCAAAUUGAAAACCUGUGUGGUUUAUUUUAAUACUUGUUUCUUCUAAAUUUUUAGCAUUUUCCAUAUCUUCCAACAGUAUUCGUUAUCUGUAAUUUCAGCCAUAUUUAUCAUGGCAGAAUAAUAGAAAACUAGUAAGUAUAACUUUAGGGAGCAGAUAGAUGCUUAAAAAAUAUAUACAGCUGCAUUGGUAUAUACCAUGACUGGGGUAGGGGUGAGUGGGCAGAAUUUUUAUAGGGUCAUCAGGGAGACCGCUCUGAAGAAGGGCCAGGCCAGCCAAGAUGGCAAUGCAAUGAGAACCAUGCAGGAAUCUGGGGGACUGUAUCCCAGGGAGAGCGACAAGGCCCUGAGGCAGAACCGGGCUUGGUGUGUUUGAGGAACAAAAGGAAGCCUGUGUGGCCAGAGGGUAAUAGGUGAGAGGUAGAGUCGUUGGCCUCGGGGUCAGAUGCUGGGCAAGGCCUGACUGCUGAUUGCUCUAGGUCUCCUGGACCUACAGGGCCAGUAGUGGACCAGAACACCCAUUCAGCCCACUCCACACAUUACACCAGGUGCCCUUUGGGUCCCACCUCCUGGCCACCGUGAUUGGCUCCUACCAGGGAAGGGGGAGGGGACUCUGGGUGGACCAACUGGAGACCAUCCAGCCAGUGAUGGCUGCUUUGCACUGCCCACUUACCCCGGGCCUGUGUUCAGGAAUAACAGCCUUCAUGGGAUUUUGGCUCAGAGAGAGCUGGGGAGAGCCUGGGGGAGCGGAAAAAUGAGGGCCGCACACAGGCUAGUCAGGCACUUGGAGCUCCGCUGAAAUAGCAGGUACUCCCACAACACGAGGAAGGCUGUGGAGGAAGGAAGGGCCCCAGGACUCCAGGGUGCAGCUUCGCCUUCUCACUGUUCUUACUGAAUUUCAUUUCCAUCUAAGGGCAUAUGUUACAAACCCAUCACAAGCCUUCCAGUCAAGGGCAUCAGCAGUGUUGGUCGUCUUAGUGAGUGAGAGCCCGUGAAUGCAUGGCCAGCCUUUUGUGAGCCAGGCACCAAUCUAGGCCUGUUAACUCGUUUGAAUAUUGUCACCAUCAUCAGCCCCAUUUUACAGACAAGAAAACUGAAACAAAGAUUUUAAAUUUCUGUAAGCGACUGAGCCAGGAGUCAAAACGGAGUAGCCUGGUGGAGAACAGUUUUGGCCGCCAGGCCAUGCCCGUUUCUGGAAGAAUUGGGCUCAGCCUCAUUAAAUGUGGCACCCAAGACAGACCUCUGUGGCUCCUCCAGUAAUAAAAUGUUAACUAUUAAGAACCUCAGAUGUUUUGUAAGGGUCAGAAAAUAUAAUUGUUUAAAUAUAAUUGCUCUUAGUUCAACAGAAGCUGAGGGAAAAAAUACCACAAACAAUAUUGUUUUGGGUUUUUUAAUUUGGGAUCUUUUUUUUUUUUUGGUAGGGGGAGAGGCAAUUAGAUUUUUUUUUUUUAAUUGGCGGUGCUGGAGAUUGAACCCAGGAUCUCCUGCAUGCUAGGCAUGUGCUCUACCUCUGAGCUCUACCCUCCCCCCAACAAUAUUGUUUUAUUAAGAGAAAUUCUCUAUUUUGUGACCACAGGUUACCUAGUGGCUACUGGUUUAAUGGGGAAGUUAUUGGAAGAGUUUGAUGCAUUUCACUGGCAAAUCAUAGCUCCAAUGGGGGCAUUAUUUAAUUAUUGAGAACGUAUCCAACAAAAGGUCACACGAAACCCACAAAAGACUUAGAAAUUAUUAGACUGAUUUGAUGAAUGCUCUGUGUUACAACUUACAUCAUCUGUAUGCAGUUUUAUUAUAAAGAUAAACAGAUUUAUUUAGAACAUAGAAGGGGAUAUAUUUUUAAAUUUUGAUUUACAUAAAAACUUACACGUAAAUAUAUAUUCCCCUACCAGUUGUUCAAUAUGGGUAUUUUGAAUAUUCCUUCGAUGACACAGUUACACAUUUCAAUUUAAUUCUAAAUGUGUUGAGAAGUCAUUGAAGGAUUUUGAACAGAGGAGUAACGUGGUCUAAUUUACUCUUUAAACUGUCAUUGAGGCUGGUGUAUGGGGAACAGACCACAGAGCAUAUGGGUGAAAUGAAGGUGGCUAAUUGGAAGUGUCAACUGAAAAAAAAAAGCACAGCCUAAAGUUAGAAUUAUGAUUUAUUCAGUGGAUAUGCUGGGGACUUAAGCCCAGGAGACCCAGCUCAGAUAACUCUGAGGGACUGUUCCAAAGAGUUUUUGGCUACUCUGAACAAAGCUGCUGUAAAUAUUCAUGUACGGAUCUUGAUGUAGACGUGUAUUUUCACUUCACUUGAAAAAUACCCAAGAGUGGAAUUUCCGAAUCAUGUGGACUUGUGGCCUGAAUAAGCCAUCCAGCAAUCAGUGGGCCCAAGGGUGCUCUUUAGUGUUAUUAAAAAUAAGAAAUUAUAGGCCAGAGCAACACGUACCCUGAAGAUGGCUCUGGAGCCCUGGGCAGAGUUCAUUCAUUGUCCACCUCUUCAGACGAGAUGACCCAGAACAGAGCCAGCCUGUGUGUUGGCCCAGCCACGGCCUUUGUCAACUGGAUGGACCUCAGGAGAAACAAAGGGGCAGCCCCCGAGCUGUCCGGUCAAGCCCCUGGUUGCUCAGAGUGGGUACUGAAGCCCCAAGAGGGGAGACAUCCUGCCAAGGGCCCGUGUAGUCAGUGACAACUCGUUAGCGCUGGAACUAGAGCAUCGUGGCCGUUAUUUGGUUUGGCUAAGAUUGCUCGAAGGCAGCAGGAGUUCUCACUCAGCUCCACACCUCUCAGCACAAACAGAGCCUGGCCACAGCUGGUCCUGUGUCAGUGUCUGCGAACGCAACUGUGCACGAAUCAGCACGGCUCUUUCCUUGAGACCCAACUAGUGCCUCCAGAAGGGGUUCUUUCCAGACUGAGAAAGACCCAACCACCUGUCUGGAUCAGGGGCUCUGUCAGCUCUGAAGUGCUUUACAAACAUUGGCUCAUCUCGGUUCUACGUAGACGCAGCAUCACGAUGACCAGCACCAGGCCAAGCAGACGGACCAGAGAAAGCAGCUCUGAUAAAAAGAAGGACGGAAGCCUGUGGGGACCCAGUGUUGCCAGAGCUUCCAGGUUUGUUUUUUUUUUUUUAAAGACAGAAAUUCUCACUUUUAAAAUAGUUGCUAGAUUCUAAAAUGCUGACUCAAGAUAUUUCAAAACAGUUUGAGGACAAACGAAACACAUCUUUGUAGUCAGUGUGUCUGCUCCUCCAGGAUGCACAUCCAUCUGGCUGACGGCAAAUGAGCCUGGGCUCUCGAGGCCUCGCUGGUGUGGGAGAGAGGCCCCUGGGUGUCGAUCACUACUGGCUAGGAGUGAUUAACUUCCUCUAAGCCAUUGGGUCCCCAAGAUGGAAACCAUAAUACCUACCUCGUGGGGUUGUUGAGAGAGUUGUAAGAUCAUGUAGAGAAACAGUACUUUGUAAACAGUAAAGCAAUGUACCAAGAGUUAAUACACAAAUAAUAGAAAUGUGUAAUAUAAUCUCUUUAAACCACCAAAGUUAGGAGGUUCUGGGGUUAAGAUACAUAACCCCAGGAAUUAACUCCCUGAACCGCAUUCAAGACCCCACCCACGAAUAUUACAGAGGGGCAGGCAUUUGUGAGCUCAGAAUGAGCACGUCCAGAUCGAACUCUGUACUUACUAGAAUUUGCAUUCCGAGGGCAAGAUGUGAGAGAAAGAGUGCAGGACUGCAAACCAUGCUUCCAGUCCCAGCGUUGCCACCAGGGCCCUGUGUCCCUGGGGAAGUUCUUUCUUCGCUCUGGGCCUCAGUUUCCCCAUCAACAACAUGAGCACACUGGACCAGCCUGCUUCCAGCUCCGAAGUUCUCAGAGGUUAGCACCCCCGCCAGCUUAGCCUCCCAGUGCUCCAGCUCGCGCCCGGCCGUGGGGACCCCGCCGUGUGACCUGAGCUAUCACAUCCUAGCCAGGGCUUCUGCCUUGUCCCCAAGCCCAGGUGACCCAGGUGUGCUGAAGCUCUGAUGGGACCUCAGUGGGUGGGGCUUCAUAUGGAAGGAUGGGUUGACGUAGGGCUUGAACUGACUUAGACUGAAUUCAGAGACAGACGGGGAGGCAGGUCAACACCAGUCAGAGGGAGGCUUCGUGGAACGUAGACCCAGGACCUUCUGAGGCUCUGCUUUUGUGCGGGAGGCAAGAUUUCCCUCACCCUCUUUGGGUGUUUCACCUGGACCUGAGAAUUAAAUUGACAUAAGACAGAUCAACAGGAGAAAAGCAUACAGAUUUUUCCAACAGAAGUUUUAUGUGACACGGGAGCCCUCAAAAGGAAAUAAAGACCCAGAGAAGCGGCAAAGCCUUUGUGCUUUUAUACCAGGUAAAGCAGAGAGGCAAUUGUGGAAAAAGAGCUAAACUACAUAGGGACGUUAAAGGAAGACAAGAGUUAUUUUCAGGUACAGAAUUCUCUAGUCUCAGCUUCCAUCCUUGCUGAUAAGCAUGUGACUUUCUUUCCGGUGUAGGGAAGGCAUCUUUCACAUGGAAAUUUCAUUAUUUUUAAGAAAAAGAAAGAAAGUCAGGUGUUCUUGCACCUGCUGUUUUUCAAGUACCUUUAACUCAGAAUAGUCAAUGUGCCAGAGUCGCAUAUUUUGGGGUGGCGCGUGGGGGCCUCCUCCUUGACUUGUUGGAGUUAGACCAGAUCUUUCCUAAUAAUGACCAUUGUAUUGGGCCCUGGCCUGGGCUUAGCACCCCGCAAAGUGCUUCCACACCCAUUGCCUUGUCCUGGAACAAGCAUCCUUACCCUGAGGCUAUAAAGGAUGGGGUGGGGGUGGGGAGGGGGUCGGAGAGGCUAUGAGAUUUCCCCCAAGACAGGGUCACCCAUAGGGAGACAGGGCCUGCACCCCAGCCUCUGCCCUCAGUGCCAUGGGCCGCAUUUACCAUAGUUACCGUGCACUCACAUUGCGCCUGCUGUUGGGCAGUCCCUUUUGGCUUGAGUCGUUCAGUCUUUACAACAACUCGACAGAGGGACAGGUUUCACUAAGGAGGAAACCAAAACAGGGAAGUGGAGUAACUUCCCUGCAGUCACACAGCGGGCAAGUACGUGUAGGGGCUGGAGCCUGGGGCCAUCUAAGUGGAGUCUGAGCUCUUAACCCCCACCUCCCCCAGUGCCCACAGGAGCAGGCAGCUCUCUCCGGAAGCCAGCCUUCAGAUUCUGUGACUUCAUCUGUGAUUUUAGCCUGGGUUCCAGAGGAGCCCGCUUAGGUUUGCUCUCAUGAUCUCACUUUUUCUCUCCUAACCCAAAGCCAGAACUACGUGGCAUGAACUGACUGUCCUCUGCAUGAUCUCGGACAAGUCCCUUGACCCCUCCGGACUCGGCUUCCUGGUCUGUGAAGAGGAAGCGCCCUGGAUACCUGCUGGGGGCCCCGCAUGUUGAGACCUUGUGCUCCUUCUGUGCUGGUGUGUCCCCCUGAGACCAAAACCUAUGUGAAAAACAAAACUGAAACUCCCUGCUCUGUUUCUGAAGUAGUACUGGAGGCCUGAUGGUCAGGAAGAACAAGUGUCCAGAGUGACCAGGGGUCAAGCAGGCCCUUGAGACCCACGAAGCCGGCAUUCUAGAAACUUCUAAAAGAGCCAGAUUCACAAAUGCCAGCAGGGCACAUGAUUUCUCCUAACAACAAAUGCCAAACACGAGAACGGAAGGCGCUCCCAGGACACCUUGGCCCUGCUGCUCCGGAGUCACCUGGGAGACCCCCAGCCACCCGCUGGUGCUCCGGGAAAACAGCACAUCCCCAUGUGUGGUGGCUCCAAGGAGUUUCACGUGCACUGGACUCUGAAAGCAGGAAGCCUCCCUGCAGACUUUGGGCCCCCGAGAGUGAACAUCCUGGUUGCUUGCAGCCAGGAAGCCUUUUCCAAUAUUUCUUGUAGUAUUUCUGCAUCUUUGAACUGUUUCCCCUAAAACACUGCAGAUGAUCAGAGUGUUUGGUGGGGUCUCUCACCAUUGCCAUGUGAACCGGGUGACCCCAGAGAGUGAGUUCCUUUUCCCUGCGGGGAAGAUGGAAGGGAGAUGCUUUGAGAUGAAAAACCACACGUGCGCUCUGGCUCUCUCACAGUUUAAUUCUGUUUAGUUUGAGGAAUAUUCAUUGCUGCCUCUGCACUGCGCUGUGCAGAGUACCAGCGGGAACCACACCAGGGAACCUCAAAGUGGAGAGGCAGCUAGGACUGGCGUGUUAGAUGCUUUUUCACGUUGAUUGUUUCAUUCCAUCACCACACAACCUUCAGAGGCUGGUUGUGAUCUUUUCAGAAUGAGAAAACUAAAAGUCGGACAAGAGAAAACGACUUGCCCCAAAUAAUACCAUUCAUAAAAUGCUUAAUCCAGAAUUUAAACCCAUUUCUAUGUGUCUCUGAAGCCUGAGAAUGAGUGAAAAGGAGAGGAUAAUUUUCUAUAGGUAUAGGGAAAAAAUACUUGAAGGAAACGCUGGGAUGUUCGCGGUGCUUCUUCCUGGGCAGUGGAAUCACAAUAGUUUUUGUGUGUAUCCUUGUGCUUCUCCAUCUUCCAAUUUUCCUCUUUCCUUGGACCUCAGAUGCAGGGGACGGCACCAGAUGUCCUCCGCAGCCCCUCUCUGGCUUUAUUUAAAUAACGAGUUAAUUCCCUUUGUCCCCGUUCCCUACUCCCACUCCUCCCUCCCCUGCCGAUGACGACUCCUCUAACAUGUUAGGCGCGUAUUGCUUUGUUUAUACUCCUGUAAAAGAUGUGGUUUUGUGUAUGAUGCAUUUAAUUCAUCUAAGAGAAAAAAAUCUUACUUUGUUUAUCACUUUUAAAAGUACUCAGUACUAAAGAGAAAAUUUUUAUGAUAAAAAUGUUCAUGCUUUUAAAAGUCGGCAGAAUGAUGUAGCAACUGAUACAUUCAUCACCCAGCUGCAGUGGUGCCAGUUCGUGACCAGUCUUGUUUAUCUGUACCUCCUCCCACUUCUUAACU